UACAGAGGGUGCAAGCGUUGUUCGGAAUUAUUGGGCGUAAAGGGUGCGUAGGCGGUGCGGUAAGUCUUCUGUGAAAUCUCCGGGCUUAACUCGGAACGGUCAAGUGAUACUGCAGUGCUAGAGUGCAGAAAGGGCAAUCGGAAUUCUUGGUGUAGCGGUGAAAUGCGUAGAUAUCAAGAGGAACACCUGAGGCGAAGGCGGGUUGCUAGGCUGACACUGACGCUGACAGCGCGAAAGCCAGGGGAGCAAACGGG
rnacentral:rRNA from 1 species